rnacentral:lncRNA from 1 species
CAUGAAUAUUAAACAGAUUCAAAUAGAUCUGCACUCAUGUAAUAUGGAGCACUACAAAUGAAAAGGCUAAAUGAACCCAGACUGUGACUUUAUGCACUGAUAUAUCUCUUAACCAAAGGGGAAUGUCUAAUCCGUUUCUAUACUCGUAUGAGGCUACAUACAUUGCAAGAAUACAAAGACAAAGUAUUUCAUGUACCAUAUUCAUUUUAUGGGGGAAGACCAUGUUAAGGGGUGGAUUUUAUACUUUGAUCUGAAGAAGCUGGGAUUCCCAGAAGACCUCAUCUCUUUGAGGAUGGAGACACGUUGUGGGCUUUCUGUGGCACUCAGCAUUGACUCAGCUGCUGAAAAUUGCAUUACUCCACUGAAGUCAGCAGACCAAUAGUGUUCAAGCUGCAAAUUCAACACAGAAUUCCAGAGGAAAAAAUGUUUUUCCUUUGUAAUUUCCAUACCAAGCAAGUUGUCUAUUGAGGCAAGCACAUAACUAUUUGAUCUUGUGUUAUUCUCUGAGUGUUCAACAUGUUUGCACUGCAAGUUUCAAAUCCUUUCUGAGAGCCACAGUUGUUGGGUUUUUAACAUCCAUCCUCCUAAAUUCUCACUAAACAGUAGCAUUGUGUAAGUAUUAUCAAAGUCAC